CCUACGGGUGGCAGCAGUCGAGAAUCAUUCACAAUGGGGGAAACCCUGAUGGUGCGACGCCGCGUGGGGGAAUGAAGGUCUUCGGAUUGUAAACCCCUGUCAUGUGGGAGCAAAUUAAAAAGAUAGUACCACACGAGGAAGAGACGGCUAACUCUGUGCCAGCAGCCGCGGUAAUACAGAGGUCUCAAGCGUUGUUCGGAAUCACUGGGCGUAAAGCGUGCGUAGGCUGUUUCGUAAGUCGUGUGUGAAAGGCGCGGGCUCAACCCGCGAACGGCACAUGAUACUGCGAGACUAGAGUAAUGUAGGGGGAACCGGAAUUCUCGGUGUAGCAGUGAAAUGCGUAGAGAUCGAGAGGAACACUCGUGGCGAAGGCGGGUUCCUGGACAUUACCUGACGCUGAGGCACGAAGGCCAGGGGAGCGAAAGGGAUUAGAUACCCGAGUAGUC
rnacentral:rRNA from 1 species